rnacentral:rRNA from 1 species
UACGAAGGGGGCUAGCGUUGUUCGGAAUCACUGGGCGUAAAGCGUACGUAGGCGGACCAUUAAGUCGGGGGUGAAAUCCCAGGGCUCAACCCUGGAACUGCCUUCGAUACUGGUGGUCUGGAGUCCGGGAGAGGUGAGUGGAACUGCGAGUGUAGAGGUGAAAUUCGUAGAUAUUCGCAAGAACACCAGUGGCGAAGGCGGCUCACUGGCCCGGUACUGACGCUGAGGUGCGAAAGCGUGGGGAGCAAACAGG